rnacentral:lncRNA from 1 species
CCUGAGACAGGACACUGAGUGUUUCAUAAAGGAAAGAGAAAUGAGGCUGGAUGCCAAUUAUCCUAGAAUUCAAUGGUUUCAAUUUCAAACAAGGCACUUUGAGGCCUGGUGAUCGACGGAAUGGUCUUGCCAAGCUGAGGAGCAGGCUGAACUGAAGUCAUGCAUUGGCAAUCAGGGUAGAGCCAAGGAGACUUCUUCAGGACAGGGAGAGCAACUGCAUCAAACCAUAAGUUAGAGGACCACG